rnacentral:rRNA from 1 species
UCGAGGAUCUUCUGCAAUGAGCGCAAGCUUGACAGAGCGACGCCGCGUGUGGGAUGAAGGCCUUCGGGUUGUAAACCACUGUCGCCGGUUAUGAAAAUGGCUGGUGUUAACAGCAUCAGUUAUUGACAAAGGCCGGAUAGGAAGCCACGGCUAACUUCGUGCCAGCAGCCGCGGUAAGACGAAGGUGGCAAGCGUUGUUCGGAAUCACUGGGCAUAAAGCGCACGUAGGCGGCGGCGUAAGUCGGAUGUGAAAUCCCUCGGCCUAACCGAGGAACUGCGUCCGAUACUGCGUUGCUUGAGGAUCAAAGGGGUGCAUGGAAUUCCCGGUGGAGCGGUGAAAUGCGUUGAUAUCGGGAGGAACGCCGGCGGCGAAAGCGGUGCACUGGUUGAUUACUGACGCUGAGGUGCGAAAGCCAGGGGAGCAAACGGGAUUAGAUACCCGCGUAGUCC